rnacentral:misc_RNA from 1 species
GAUGAAGAACGCAGUGAAAUGCGAUAACUAGUGUGAAUUGCAGAAUUCCGUGAAUCAUCGAGUCUUUGAACGCACAUUGCGCCCCCUGGUAUUCCGGGGGGCAUGCCUGUCCGAGCGUCAUUGCUGCCCAUCAAGCACGGCUUGUGUGUUGGGUCGUCGUCCCCUCUCCGGGGGGGACGGGCCCCAAAGGCAGCGGCGGCACCGCGUCCGAUCCUCGAGCGUAUGGGGCUUUGUCACCCGCUCUGUAGGCCCGGCCGGCGCUUGCCGAACGCAAAUCAAUCUUUUACCAGGUUGACCUCGGAUCAGGUAGGGAUACCCGCUGAACUUAAGCAUAUCAAUAAGCGGAGGA